GGGCAAGACAGUGGGGUCCUAUGGGGCUGGAGGGUCCUAUGGGGUUUGGGGGCCAAUACAGUGGGGGUCCUAUGGGGAUGGGGGGCUCCUAUGGGGCUGGGGGGAGUCCUAUAGAGUUUAGGGGAGGCAAUACAGUGGGGUCCUAUGGGGAUGGGGGGGUCUUAUGGGGUUUGGGAGUGUUAUAUGGGGUUUUGGGGGGUCCUAUGGGGCUGGGGGGUUCUAUGGGGCUGGGGGGAGUCCUAUACAGUUUAGGGGGGAAAUACAGUGGGGUCCUAUGGGGUUUGGGGGGUCUUAUUGGAUUUGGGGGGACAAUACAGUGGGGUCCUAUGGGGAUGGGGGGGGGCUAUGGGGUUUUGGAGGGGGUCCUAUGGAGUUUGGGGGGCCCUAUGGGGUUUUGGGGGGUCCUAUGGGGUUUGAGGGGUCCUAUGGGGUUUGGGGAGGUCCUAUGGGGUUUGGGGGGGUCCUAUGGGGUUUGGGGGGCCUAUGGGGUUGGGGGUGUCCUAUGGGGUUUGAGGGUGUUCUAUAGGGUUUGCGGGGUCCUAUGGGGUUUGAGGGUGUUCUAUAGGGUUUGAGAGCAUUCUAUGGGGCUGGGGGGGGUUCUAUGGGGUUUGGGGGGGUCCUAUGGGGCUGUGGGGAGUCCUAUAGAGUUUAGGGGGGGCAAAUACAGUGGGGUCCUAUGGGGUUUGGGGGGUCCUAUUCGAUUUGGGGGGGCAAUACAGUGGGGUCCUAUGGGGAUGGGGGGUGCCUAUGGGGUUUUGGAGGGGGUCCUAUGGGGUUUGGGGGUGUUAUAUGGGGUUUUGGGGGGUCCUAUGGGGCUGUGGG
rnacentral:lncRNA from 1 species